CAUGAAUCCCGUCAUUAAAGAAAUUGAUCCGGUUCACAGGUUCCCUGUGAUCUGCGAGGGGAUUCAUGGUUGAUGCUGAUCCUAAAGGGAGGAGUUUACAAUGUCACACAAGUCAACACCACCAUUUCCUACGAGGCAGUACCUGCUGUGGGAGCCGAUGGAACCAACAUCAUGAAACUGAUUCCUGUACAAACGGUCAACAGACAGUUUUUCCAAUCUCCAACAAGCCAACCUGAAACAGAUCCUACACCACAGAGAGCUGAAGCCAUGAACAUUUCAUCAGAACCUGUCCAGAUGUUUAAAACAAAUGUGGAACCUACUAACUCAGUGAACAAGUAUUUAUCCCAGCAACAGAAUACAAGG